CCAAAGUGCUGGGAUUAUAGGCGUGAGCCACUGUGCCCAGCCAGCUUUGCCUUUCUUAACUCACAGUCUGAUGGCAGAGACAUGGCCUUGUCCACAGGAGCCCCCAGUCUGAUGGAGGAGUUGUGGGUCUCACUUCAGGAACUUCCAUUUGAUGGGAGAGAUGCGGCCCUACCUUGAAGGGUUCCCACUCUGAUGAAGGAGACAUAAACCUAUCUUUGGGAGUCUCCAGUCUGAUGGGGGAGGCAGGUCCAACCUUCAGAGGCCCCCUGUCUAAUGCAGGAGACAUAGCCUUGACUUCAAGCAUCCCAGAGUAAUGGAGGAGACACAGGCCUGCCUUCAAGGGUCCCCAGUCUGAAAAGGGAGGCAUAGUCCAAACUUCAAGCGUCCCCAGUCAGAUGGCAGAGGCAUGGUGUAAACUUCAAGGGCCCCAGUCCAACACGGAAGGCAUGGCCCCAACUAACUCACAAGGUCUCAAGUCUAUUAGAGGAGACGUGAGCCUUCCUUCUAGAGGCCCCUAUCUGAUGGGGGAGGCAUGAUCCAGCCCGUCCAGGACUCCAGUCUGACAUGCAGGCAAUUGCAGUGGAGUUGCAGUGGGGCAGAUAACCAAAGGCAUGGCCUUGGAACCUGGAGAUUCAAACCCGGGCCCUGUCCCUCCCUCACCCUGGAGGUUGAGAAGCCUCCCUUACCCAUAAAUGGGGCAGCAACAGAGCGUGUCCCCGGGGGUGUUUGUGGACCGAGUGGGUGGUGUCAUCCCAUUCCCAGAUAAGGAAACAGGCUCAGGGAGCUCCAGGUUCACACGGCGUGGGCCCCUCUUCUCCUGUAAGCCCAGGCUGGGGUGGCAGUGGGCUCCAGCGGAAGGGGAUCCCAUCACCCCUCCUCCCCAUCCCUCUGAUGUGCUCCGGCAGCCAGGCAGCCCCGGAGGAGUUGAUGGAGGAGAUCUCAGAUGAAGGCUGACAGCUCCCGAAGACAGGAUGACAGACGCGGGCUGGUGGGGAACGGUCUCGUCGUGUGCCAGGGUCUACUCAAGUGCCACCGCUCACGGAAUCAACCCAAACCGGGAGCCGACUCUACCUACGUGAGCCAGACCCCGAAGGUGCUCUGAGCCAGCUGUGAACACAGCGCAGGAAGCCGUGCUCCAGGAGAAGGAAGGAGCCUGAAUCCCUGAAUGGCUCCAUGGAGCAGAGCUGCCCGGAAGUCCUAGAGUGUCAGCCCAGGGCUCUUACAUGAUUGAGAAAUAAACUUCUAUGUUCUUUCUUUA